UACGAAGGGGGCUAGCGUUGCUCGGAAUCACUGGGCGUAAAGCGCACGUAGGCGGAUUCUUAAGUCGGUGGUGAAAGCCUGGAGCUCAACUCCAGAACUGCCUUCGAUACUGAGAGUCUUGAGUCCGGGAGAGGUGAGUGGAACUGCGAGUGUAGAGGUGAAAUUCGUAGAUAUUCGCAAGAACACCAGUGGCGAAGGCGGCUCACUGGCUCAUUUCUGACGCUCAGGCGCGACAGCGUGGGGAUCAAACAGG
rnacentral:rRNA from 1 species